UUAACUGUGGAAUAAGAAAUUUUCUUUUUCCAAUUUCAAUUUUUGCCCUCACCUCUACCCAAAGAAUGAAUAAACUGUAACAUUCUUUUCUUCCCAUCUCUACAUUUCCUCUUUUUUUUUUUCGAUUGCAAAGUUGCAACCCUUUUUUUUUCUAGGCUUGAUCUUAGGCCCUGACUCACCCUCCGUGGACGAACCUUGCAGAAGAACCCUUGGGUUUUUAGGGCAUUAGAUUCUCACCAAUGUUUGCGUUACUCAAGCCGACAUUCUCGCUUCCGCUUCGUCUACUCCCGCUCACGCAGGAAGUUGUAUGCUAUUGUUGCAGAGGAUGAGAUUCCACCUCUCCCUGCAAAGGAACAACUUAAAAGCAAAUGGGAUGAUGAAGAUAUUGAUGACUCUGAUAUCAAGGAAUCAUGGGAGGGUGAAGAUGAACUUGCUCCACCUCCGAUAUGAUAGGCUUCAUUGUAACUUGUAUUAAUUAUGCUUACUAGUAUUUUGUUGUCGGGGCUCUUUGGUCCUAUGAAUCGUUUAAUUGCUUCUUAAAAUUCUAUAUUGGAAAACAUGUUUGUCGAAACCAUUUUUUGAAAACAAAAA